CCUACGGGAGGCAGCAGUGGGGAAUAUUGCACAAUGGGGGGAACCCUGAUGCAGCGACGCCGCGUGAGUGAAGAAGUAUUUCGGUAUGUAAAGCUCUAUCAGCAGGGAAGAAAAUGACGGUACCUGACUAAGAAGCCCCGGCUAACUACGUGCCAGCAGCCGCGGUAAUACGUAGGUGGCAAGCGUUAUCCGGAUUUACUGGGUGUAAAGGGAGCGCAGACGGCUGUGCAAGUCUGGAGUGAAAGGCGGGGGCCCAACCCCCGGACUGCUCUGGAAACUGUAAAGCUAGAGUGCAGGAGAGGUAAGCGGAAUUCCUAGUGUAGCGGUGAAAUGCGUAGAUAGUAGGAGGAACACCAGUGGCGAAGGCGGCUGACUGGACUGCAACUGACGUUGAGGCUCGAAAGCGUGGGGAGCAAACAGGAUUAGAUACCCUUGUAGUC
rnacentral:rRNA from 1 species